AGCUCAGAUGGUAAAGAAUCUGCCUGCAAUGCAGACAACCCAGGUUCGAUCCCUGG
rnacentral:tRNA from 1 species